rnacentral:rRNA from 1 species
AACGAACGCUGGCGGCGUGCUUAACACAUGCAAGUCGAACGCGAAAGUUUCUUUCGGGAAGCGAGUAGAGUGGCGCACGGGUGAGUAACGCGUAAGUAAUCUACCCCUGUAUUUGGAAUAACCUACCGAAAGGUGAGCUAAUACCGAAUACGUUCAGGUUGGUGCGAAUCAAUCUGCAGAAAGGUGGCCUCUUCAUGAAAGCUACUGUACAGGGAUGANCUUGCGUACCAUUAGCUAGUUGGUA